rnacentral:lncRNA from 1 species
ACGAGACUUGGAGAGGCGGUGCCGCGGGGAGGCGUGUCGGGCGUCGGCGCGGUGCCCUUCGCCUCGCAGAUUUUACCGCCAGUGAUGUAGGCUCCUUGUGCGUCCUAAUUGGAAGAAGCCACGCUCCCGAGUAUUAGGAAGGGACGGAGAGUCUUAUUUGCGUUCCCAUUGUUUGUGGGUCACCUAAGGAGACCCUGGAGCCGGGAACUCUUGCUUGUUCCAGCCCAACAUGGCCUACAGAGUGAGAUCCUGUCUCAAAAAACAAAACAAAACAAAAAAACAAGAGAAGGCUGAAUAAAUGGCUCAGCACCUGCUGCUCUUCCAGAAGACCCAGUCACAGGACAUCUACGCUUCUUACAAUUUCCUCAUAUGAAAUGCAUCACGAUCCUCUCAGUGAAGGAAAAUGUCAGGCUUCCUCAUCAGCCCCAGCCUCUAGACGUCUUGCCCAAUCUCUGCAAUUGGUCUGCUCUCCACCAGCAUUCCUCUUUAACAUUUUUUAUCAGUCCGGCAUAUGAGAUUUUAAUGGCUCUGUUGCAGCUUUCUCUUCUUCAGUCAGUAGAGUUAGCUAGAAAAACAAAUAACAAAAUGUUUAUUUCAAAACCUUCAAAGGUUGUUAAACGAGUUAAAUUUUGCUUCAUUGCACAAACUUUUUCAUAAUCUUAUACUACAUAUUUAGUCUUGAAAUUUGAAAGGCAAGGGAAAACAAUAGCCAUC